rnacentral:tRNA from 1 species
UCUUUCCAGGGGUACAGGGUAUCGAAGUCUUCCACCGACUUCGGGUGCAGGUUCCACAUUUGCAGGAAGAUC